CGAUUAAUAUCUGGUUUAUAUACCUGCAUUCAGAGUACUGUAUGUGUGUAGCAGGGUAAGUGUUUUAUCUGCUUUUAGCCCGGUUUGGAUCUGAUUGGUGGACCAAUCAGAUGUAAGCAGCCCUACUACUUAAGGACUCUUAUAUUGAGGGGUGUGGUGGUGUCCUGUUGAUUCUGAGCUCUCCUCUUCCUGGCGGUCCCCUUUCCGCUCCUCACUGCGUUCAGUCUGAUUUAGAGUGGGGCUGGUGGCAUCUGCAUUGCGGCAAGUGUGUGGCGGAGUUCGCUUACAGCGGAUGCGUGAAUGCUGUCUGGCACGUUGAGUCACGACACUUGUUGGAGUAACCAUAUAGCUUUGCGCUGGUCUUCGUUCAAUCCUAACCGUAAGUACGUUUUGUUUCUCUUUCCUGCAAAUGGGACUUAGUAGAUUUAGUUUAACACUUGUUUUUGUUAAAGGUAAAGGGGGGAAUGGAACAUCACAAUCUCUAAGUUGAUCCCUUGUCGAAGAUCCUACAUGUGACGCUGCUGCUGUUUUGCUUGCAGGCAUUUUUGUUUUGAGUACAGACCGUCAUUGCUUCCGGCUUCUGUGUGGCGGGUCGUUUGGGCCGAUCUUUGUGACUUUGUGCUUUUGCUAGGCCAUCUAUCCGUUUUAUUAUGAUUUAGUUUUUUUUCAGUAUAAUUGUUUGGUUUUGUUUGCGCAUUGUGCUGUGGUUUCCCUUUUUUUGUACUUUGGGCUUCUUUUACAACAGUGUUAAUGUGUAGUGUUGUGUGUGUUUUUUUUUUUUUUUUUUUGUGCUAUUUGUGGUUGUUUUGCAGCUUUAUAAUUGUUCAUUUUAUAUUUCUGUGCCAUGUAUUGUACUGCGUCAUCGUAAAGAGUUCACAUUCUUUACAUAAUUUAUUGUUUCGUAAUUCUGGUGUCAUUCAGGCACUGUUAUUUGCUCUCACUGCAUUUUGUGCCCUUAGGAGGCCGGAGUACGAGUCACUACAACCAGUGUCUGUAAAUGUAGUCUGAUUAUUUUUCGUUCUUUAUUAUUCUUUGUAAUUUUUGGUUAAUGUUUCUUAUUUUUGUCUCCAGGAGCCAGUAAGGACUCUGUGUGGAGCAGGGGAGGCUAGCCACUUUCCUUCAGUGGUGUGUGUUUCACAGGGUGCUGUGUGUUGGUACGAUUUCCUUUACUCUGUGUGUGUUUGUGUUGUGGGUUUAGACGAUCUCCCGAGUUGCAGCCGGCCUGCCCUGUUCCCGCUAAGCCUGGCCCUGGAGAGUUAUUUUAAUCUGGUGGUGUGUUUCCUGGGAGAGAGAAUUUUAUUGAUGUUCUUAUAAUAGUGUAUUUUUGUAUUGAUACUCCCGUCUCACUACAUCUUAUUUCUUUGCCUUCAAUUGGUAAAACGUACCUGUGUCCUUAUUGGGAGUAUUUCCCUGGCGCUCCACCAGGGUUGCGUAGUCGGAUUAAAUUCAUUGUGAUUUUGGGGUCUUUUAGACCUAUGUGAGUGCCACAUAUGCUUACAAAUAUUUGCUUAUAUCAUAAGCAGUUGACCAGACCAAAAUUGCUUUUACUUUUUGUAUUAUACUUUGUGGGAAAAUGUUAUGCAUGUACCCAUGAAGGAGUGUUGUGUUUGUGUUGAAGUUGAUAAGUUUAAAAAAAGAGUCUUUGCGACAACUGUAAACGAAA